GAGGGCGGAGAGCGGCGCUUCCGCGCAUGGCCCGCUGGGUAGUGUAGUUCUCUGCGGCCCCAUGCUGAGGGGGCUGUUUGGGGCCGGGCUGCAUGCGGGGAAAUGCCGUUCGUCGUGGCCCACUGUGGCUAUCCCAGAGCACGUUCCCACUGUGAGGAUCCUGAAAUGCUGCUCUCAAGUCUCCCAGCAGCCUUCUCUUCUCCACGCUGAACAGCACCAGCUCUCUCAGCCUGUCCUCAUAAGGAAAAUGUUCCAUCCUUCGGAUUGUUUUUGUGGCCCUCCUUCUGGAUGCACUCUGACAGGUCCACAUCUCUGCUGUACUGAGGACUCCACAUCUGGACAAAGUACUCCAGCUUGCCUGUUCAGAUGAUGAGCUUGGCCUUCCUUACUGACUGACUGAAUGAAAAAGAAGGAUGAUUCAAUCCAUUCCAAGCAAUGAUGGUAUGAGAAAUUCUGAAAUUUCCAAGCACUGCUAUAAGGCCUUCAAGCACAAAAGCACAAUGUUAGGCAACAGAAUUACUCAGCUGGCCAAGCGUGAGGUGUCUGUGGUACUGCCCAGAAGAGUACUGGUGGAUGAGCUCUGUAGGAGUAGAAGCUUCUCCAGCACUUGGCUCAAAGCACUUAACUCCUCAGCACUGCCCUUGGGGAACCAGUCUGUCUCUGCUGCCUGUAGAGAUGGGUAGACAAGUUGGCCAAGGUAAAUAGCCACCGCACUGGGCUCUUUGGUAUUUAGAUCCAUGUAUAAGAACAGUAUUAUACAAAAUAACAUUUAAACAAUACUACUCUGACUUAGUAUCAGUGCAGCAAACAAGAAUGCUGUUCUUCCCUCCACCUCCUCAUUUCAUUUGUACAGCUGCCAUCCUGGGUAUCAUAACUGGUUGGUUACUACUGAAAGUUUAGGUGAUGUACAGUGCACCUGCUGCUUUGAUGACUACGUCAAGCAUGUCCAUGAAGACUACCCCUACUGUGCUGGCCUAAUGGCAGUAGGGUACCACUGACACUUCUGAUCCGCUCCAGCUGCUCUUGGCAUUACUCCAAGAAAGACAUCUCUAAUGGGGAGGCAUGUUAGAGAAGCUGAACAAAAGGAAAGGCACUGGCAUCUUCAUAUCAAAAUGUGACGUGCUCGUUCCAGCUGACACUUCAGAACUUCUUAGGUUAUAGCAUUAUUACUUAAAUUACCCACUUGUGGAAGCAGCAAAUAUAGCUCUGGGAACAACGUGGUCCAGGUGGAAUUAAGUGUGAAACACCUCCUACACUGAGAGAUACCUGCCUCUGGCUGGCUGGAUACUGGCUGUGGGAGAUACUGUUUUCUGCCAGUUGACAUGUGAAAUUAUGACUAAUAUUUGUCACUCUUUCAGUCAUAAAACAAGUUGCUGAAUGUUUUGCAGGAAAGAGAAGUACCUUGUCCCAAAUAGAUGUGCUUGGGACACUUACAGUGAAGUCCACAAUCUAUUACACGAUUGCCUUUCCCUGGCUGAGAAUUCCAACCAGAACCUGCGCUGUAAAAUUAAGCACAUCAUAACCAGCUCUAGAGCACCUGACCUCCUCAGAAGUCACUAAAAGCAAGUGAAGCAUUUCAGCAUGCCUAGAGGGUCCACGUAGUGCAGGAUACAGAUUGGCAAUCUCAUGGCUAUCAGUCUCUCAGCACCAAUUGUGUAUCCCAACAUAUUUUGUUCCAAGAGAAGCAAGUGCCUUGUCAUCAGUGCUGCAAUAGCAAAUUUUUAGGGACUGAUGAAGCAAAGAUAGACAGCAGCAUAUUUCUUUAGGAAAGGUGGGAAGGUAAUUUAGCUGUCAGGACAAAUAAGGUGGGGGGUGGUUUAUAGCAUUAAGUGGAAUAGGAGAGAAAAGGGAAGUCAAACAUGAUCUUCAGUUUAAUCAGCCAGAAGGAAGGAGAAAAAAUGGUGUUGUUAGGUGUAUUAGUUAACAGAGGUAAUAGCAAGAGUUUAGAGGAAAGUGACUGCUCUGGGAAGCUCAAUCUGAAAAGUACAGUUUCUGAACUGCUCGAGUGGAAAUUAAAAUAACAUUGUAAACAACAGCAAACGGGUGAAAGGCAAAAAUGAAUGAUAGAAUAGACGUGCCCCUGAUAUGAACUGAGGUCUGCCAAUGUGGAUAAAUAAUGCACAUAGUUUGUGCUCUCCGAAAGAAAUAGUAUUCAAACUGAGACCUCAGAAAGGCGGUGAAGGUGCAAGAAGACAGAUGCUAGAGAGAUGUGUAGGGCAGUUUUAAUCCUGCCUUAGACAAAACCACCAGUUGAUAGGAAAAAUAAAACCUGGAGAAGGAUUCCAAAAUAUUGGAACAAUUGAGAAGAAGAAGAGAGUACCUUCAGAGAGGGAAACACUCAGGAGAGCACCCUGAGAGGUGACAACAAGUUGCAGAAAGAAAAUGAGAACUCAAAGGGAAAUAUCAUGAUGGGAGAUGAAAAAAGAAGUAAAGUUUUGUACACUCAUGCAGGUGGAAAUAAUUUGAAAGCAGUUUCCACAGAGACAAAGGAUACCAGAUAGAAGUAAGUGGGGAGGGAAAAAUUAAUGUGAGAGAGGUACAUAGACAGGAGGGAGUGAAAAGAGAUGGAGCUAUAACAGGAAAGGCAGAUGAACCUCAGAGAGUGUAUUUCAUGAAGACAAGAGUGAUACUGAAACUGGAAUUAAAGUAGGUGAGGAAGAAGAAAAUGUUUGUGGAUCAGACCAGAGAGAGCUGAAGAAGUUGCAGCUGGUUUUAAGGCCUGAAAUGAGAAGCAUGAUAAAUUAAUUCAAACCAACUUAAGAGUUGCACAGAUUCAGAAAGAGCUGAAAAAAUAGGAAGAUCUACAUUUGCAUGUAGAUGAGUUCUUCAACCAGAAUGUUUUUGGGUUAAUUCCCAUCUGAUGUCCAUUCUGCAUUAAGCUGACCAUGGCAGCAUCUUCUUGCUGGAAGCUAAGGAUCUUUCUGAAUCCCUCAAUGCUCAAAUAGUCCAAAUUUCAUUUGGAGAACAUAGAGUAUAUAUACAUAGAGCCCAGGCACAAAGAAUAACUCUCCUCUUCUGUGUGUAUAUAAAAUCUGGGCAGUGGUUUGGUAGUGUGGUAGUCAAGGAGAAGCAACAUGCCCAGGACCUUGAGCAGAGAGGUAAGAACUUACUGCAUGAUGGAGAGCAGAACUCGUGGAAGGCUCUCUGGAAACCAACAGGCAAAGUGCUUCUUAGGGACUGGGAAAGCCAUCAGAGCAGCCGUCAGCUGCAACUCACAGGACUAGAUUGCCAGAGAUGUUAGAACAGCUUCCAAUGGACAACAGUCAAUUCCCCAUCCUACCCAGCCAGGAUUUCCCUGAUUUAUUCCACUAAGGACUCCAUGCAGCAGCUAGCAUGGAAAAUAUCCAUUUGACCUUACUCCUUCCAAACACCAAUGCACAGAUAGUAACUUGGAGGCAGAGAAGUGCCACUUGGUGGCUUCCAACUGGCGCACUCCGUGCUGGGGCACAGCCAGGAUGAGGAAGCAAAAGGAAAAUGUGCCACCCAUAAAUCCCAUUAUAUUGUCUGAGAUCAGUCCCAAGUGCCAGCAGUCAGCAGCACGAAUGCACCAUACUGCUGGUGCUGCCAUGACCGAGGCAAGGUGCUAAAUUGCUCUGAUUUAGCUGAAAUCACUGAUAUAUCUGAGUAAAAAAUACAUGAUUAUAACUACUCCUUUGUGUGUCUUUCCAUGUUCAUUUGAAAGAAGUACGGCAGAAGAUAAAACACAGCAACAUCCCCCAAGCCCAGAGGGUUUAAUGAAGAAUUAAGGAGAUUGUAACUGCAUAGCUGAAAUAAUAAGGAGGAAAUUGAAUUAUUCCACCCAUAUUAAAUGCAUAUAUUCUUGAGUGUUUCUGCCAAAAUUACUCUGCUAACCCAUGGUGUGAAAUACAGUCUGUUUUCACAUGGGUGCAUUAAACAAAGAUGCCUGCUACAGUACAACAGCUUUGAAGAGAAUAGAAAGGCAUCAGGAUGAAAAAGCGCUCCCGACGUAUGGUUAUAUCAGCUCUAAAUUGUCUCACAGCUGUUUCUAGCUCCAUUAGAUGGAAGACUGGCUAAUUUAUAGAAGUCAUUUUUAACAAUUUGAUUGUUGGUAUAUAUCUGCUGAAUUGAUUGGCUAGGGAGACAGAUCUUUAUUUUUAUAAUAGCAGUAACAUCUUUGCAGAUUACUGCUCAAUUUAUCCCUGAUAUUAACAGUGCUAACCAUCAACUAUUCAUUUAUAUUAUGCUGUUAUUUCUUAAUUAUCAGCCUAAUUGUAGAGGAGAGCCCAGGAUGCAUGAGACUAUCUGGGCUGGACAAGAAAUGAGAGAGGCUGGGGUUCAUUCCCUUCUGAUACACUCACAGCUCUGGCUGAGCUCAGCAGGAAUUAAACACUCAGGCCUGGAGUUUUGUUCAGAAGUUUGCUAAUCCUCUGUGUGCUAGAGUGAUGUUUCCCACUGAAGUCAGUGAGAACUCUGUUCAGAAGAGAACAACAUAUGCAAUGUACCCAGUUCUGUAUCUAACAAUGCUGGAGGCAUUGUGGAAAAGAAUGAGCUUCCUAUUCAAAUCAGAAGUCUGUGAUAGGCACACGAGGACACUCAUAGAUGACCAGACUAUUGGGCUGUGUAACUCUUGCUGCUGUCUUUGAGGGCAGUUAAUGGAGGUUGGCUCCCAGGAGGCUCAGCUGUGACCUACUGUACAUCUUGGGAAGAGUUAGUUCCCAGCAUCUCAGAGUGAGAACAUGGCUUAUACACUGAAGCUUAAAUAUAUAUAUUCUUUUCUGAGUUCUUCUAGAAACUUGUGUUUAUUUCAAACAUGUAUGUUAACUUCUGUGCGUAUCCGCUAUUGUGUUUGAGUGCAGAUUAACUAAUAUGGCUUGGGUUGGAAAGGACCUUAAAGUUCAUCCAGUUCAAAGCCCUGCUGUGAGCUGGUUGCCCCCCACUGGGUCAGGCUGCCCAGGGCCCCAUCUAACCUGGCCUUCAACAGCUCCAGGGAUGGGGCACUGUUGCAUGAAAAGGGCAAAGAAGUUUGGCAAAUAAAAGUAUUUAUUUUCCUCCACUUUGAAUUUACUGCUUCUCUGUUCUGUCUGCUUUGCUCUCGUGGUGGGAAAAGACUAGAAAUCUUACUCUGCGUUCCACAGACUAUUUGGUUUUCUGCAAAUUUUUCUCACCAUUAAGGAGAUUUACUAUGUAAUUCCGAAGUACAGUUUUCUGAAUUUUCAGUCACUUAAGACUAUUUAUUCCAUGCAGUAGAACAGAUAGAAUCUCAGGACUCCCCCAAAUGCCAAGCUGUCUGUGUUCAUACUGUUAAAACUGCAGUCCUCACGAGCUGAAAUUAUCAUUACAUGUGCUAACCUUAUAAGCCAAAUCCCAGGAACAGUAUUCAGUUUUUUUCCUGACCUCAAUAAGCAUCUCACUAAAGCAACAGAUCAGUGAGAGGGGGUUCAAUCCUUAUUCUGAUAAUGAGGGGACUCUUCAAAAUAUUCUAUUUUUAUUGGAACAAAAGGAUGGAGGAAAAGGGGAAGACGGUCUGCUGGAGGUAGAUAGCUAAUACUGAAAAUAAAUGGAAAGAGAACAACUUUGAUGGGCUGAUGGUUGGACUGGAUGACCUUAGUGGCCUCCUCCAACCUUAAUGAUUCUAUGACUCCAACUUAGCCUCAUUUUGAGCAUUGGAAAUUUUGAAUCAAGAAGGAAGGUGUACUAGAAGAGUGGCUACUCACUCCCAGCUUGAUCAAAGGAAUGAAUUAAUAUUAGCAUUGUAGCAUGCACUUCAAAAUAUGGAAGUCCUCUACCUUCUGUGCUAUUUCUGGUGAGAUCUUCUCCCUCCCAUUUCAUGUCAUACCCAAGUUCCUUCCGCUCAGAUAACCAGUGACACUGCUAAUUUAUGUCAUAUGCUCUUCAUUCUCUUUCAUCUUUUCCUCCAAGGGUGAGCUGUUAUAUGUUGGGAAGUAUUUGGUUUUCAGAGGUUUUUAUUAACCCUUAGGUUGUUCAGGCAUAGUUGGGAGCAGGACGCAAGACUUGGGUUUAUUUAUAAGCGUGUGUUCUGCUGGUAUUAAAAGAAUAGUGUCCAUGUAGCUUAAAUGUCACCAAGCGCAGCAGGUUUAUAGUAGCCUCAGAGGUUUGAAUAUAUACAAGGGCAAGCUCCCUUGGAGUUUAUCAGUGCAAAUCAAAACAGCCUCCACUCAGCUGGUAAUCUAUGGCUUAUAAGCGAUACUCAAAUCCAAUUUAUUAAGAACACAUUAGUUUUUCAAGCACACCAGAUUCCUGAUUAAUUUCCAGCACUCUGGGUUAUUUAAUGCUGUAGGUUCCAUUGUCAUUUUUUAUUUUCCACAGAGCACUUGAUUGAUAGAAGCUAUUGUGAGCCUGUUCUUUGAGCACAUUGUUCUUGUCAAAUAACGAUACAAAUCUUAUUGAUGAAAGGUCAGUGUGUCUUUUAUGUAUGGGAAAGUCAUCGUGCAAGCUUUGGGACCAUGCGCUGAGCAUAUGCACAAAUGAAUGAGGGAUGGUAAAUGAUGCCAGAAAAGUUUAAUAUUACAGAGGAGUCAUCAUGCCACUUGAAUAGCUAAAUUCAGCUGGUGCAACACAGCCCAGAAAUCCAUGACUCAGAUGUUAAUCAGUGUUAGAUGCUCUUUUUAUUUUUAUGCUGCUAAUCAUUGUUACAAAAUCAAGUGUCUCGUAGCAAGAGUGCAAAUCCAUUUUAAACUGAAUUAGCCUUUUGUUCAGAGGGCACUUGGGAUUUGCCUGGGGUUUGAUGGCUGACCCCAGCAAUAGCUCUGUACAUCACAGGUGGUGGAGGUGACGAUAAACCCUGGUCUUCUGGUUCCCCCCUCUGCUACCCAUAGGAUCGCACCUCACACGAACCAAUCCUCUGUGCACCUCAGAGAGCCAAAUCCUCCCCCUGUGCUCUCCCCUCUGCACUGAGGUGUUGCAAGUGAAGGGAGUGCAAAUUGCAUCUUACGGGAGUGGUGAGAUCCUCGAGCAUGAAAAACAGAACUGACAGUGGCUCUGCACUUCUGUCAAAGGAACCUCACAGCUCCACAGGCUGUGACACUGAUUUAACUCAUCAAGCUGCAGAGAUAAAGGUCAGACAAUUUGGAAGCAGAACUUCAGUCUAGAGGAAGAGGUUUCUCACCAACAGAGUUGUGAUGCUUUUAACAGUAGGUGACCUGUGAAUAUCAAUGGGCAUCUAAACAGAUCUUUCAGUUAAUUAAGUCCUAAGAGCUAGAGAACUGUUUUCCUGUGCUCCUCCUGUUCAGUACAGAAGUAUUUCUGAAAAGUUUGUUGUAAACUUUUUGUCUGUAAACAGGAACGGAGCAUCAGUUGUAACCGAGGGCGCUGUCAGGUUAGUCCUAGGACAGGUCCAGGGUGUAUUUGCAUCCUCCUCAGCCAGUCUGCAGUCCCAGUAGAAAAAUUUGCAAAAGGAUUAUUUCUGUUUUGAAAUCAAAUUCCAGGAGCUCUGAUCCAGCCCUCCUCCUUGUCAGGAGCAAUGGAUUCACAAAAAUAGACAUGAAAACAAAAUUCAGUUUUCCAUCUCUACUCAUGCUCAGUGGUGGAGUCACCAAGCCUGGAGGUUUUCAGUAAAAGUGAAGAUGUUACACUGAGGGAUAUGGUCUAGCAUGGUCACAGGCAUGGGCUGAUAGCUGGACUAGAUUAUCUUAUUGGUCUUUCCAACCUUAAUGAUUCUAUGAUUCUACACAGGCUCACCUUUCUCCUGUGUUUGCUCAUGCAACUUUUGUGGAUGUUUCUGCUGAGCAGAAGUCUAGAGUCCUUAAAAUAAAUCCAGGCCUUGCCCUCUAUAUAAGCCUCAUCUCCAUUGCUCUUAUCCUUGUACCAUCCUAUCUUUCUGGCAGGCAGGCAAACUGUCCUCUCUUGCUCAAGGCAAUGCCAAAAAAAAAAAAAAUGCACUAUACUGAAGGAGGUUCUGGGAGCACUUAACACCUAGAAAUCCUCUGCACUACUGAGCAGUGUCAGCUUAGUGCACAGCAAAAUGCCACCACAAGCCCCAAAAUAAUUUCCAGAAGCAACCGUAUGGAGCUGUCACUAGAGGAAAUGUGGUUUGUCUUGAGGACAAGGAAACUGAGAGAUGUGAUUGACAAAGACAUUGAUUUACAAAAUGAGCUAGAAACAGGAAGAGAGAGAAAAGGGGGAAUCUUUCCUUAAACACACCAUAUUUUAGAGCUGAGCAAUUUAUUAGUAGAUUUAGUACAGGUCAUGUCCUCUCUAUCUGUCUGAGGCUGAAGUUUCUUCAUGUCCAAGACCACAAUACUUGCUGAGUUUGGAAGUAGCCAGACCUGUUAUAAAAAAGUAGUCAACAACAGCCACAUGGGAUGGCAUUGCCAAAGCCUCCUCAGUUAUUUCAUCAAUAACCAAAUGGAAUAAUUUGUAGACAAAUGCUAAUGCAUGUAUUUAACACAUCUAUGCUCUUUAUGUCUUCAAAGGGUCUAAAAGCUCUUCUAAUCCCAUGUGAUCAAAUGUAGGACAGAUGACACAUUAAAAGGUAGAGGAUACAAAUAAAGUUCUUGUUAUUAGAAUUUGGAAGGCUGUAGAAACCACGUUAACUUUUGCCCCUUUUUCCACACUUCUAGCAGGACACCUCUCAAGCAUCCUUUGUACAACCAGUGACUAUGUAAGAGCAAGGACUUUGCAUUGAAGGACAAAGCACAAACAGCAAAGGUGCAAGCCUACCACCUACCUGCAAGAAGCCAACUCAUCACAACAGUUUGGCAACUGUGUACCAGGGCAGGCUGUGUACUCUUGGGUCAGGUUGGCUAAAAAAGAAAAAAAAAAUAGAAUUAGACUUACUUCCAUUGAAGCUGAUCAUAUCCAUUUUUAGUUAUAUUCAUACUAUAUUGCUCUGCUUCUGCUUGUUCAAGACUAAGAAAUAAAUAGUUGUUGGUCUGCCCUUGGAGUACUGUGAAAAGAGAGAUGUCUGUCAGUGGUUACUGCAAGUAUGGGAAUCUCCAACACCCAAAUCCUCAACUUUAUGUCACUGCAAAUGCAAUUCAUAGGGACAUUUUCAUAUUUAGUUUCAUUUCAUGAGUGGAUCUGACGUGCAGAAUCAAACUCUAUAACCCGGUUAGGUUAUAAAGCAGGUAUGUUUAUUUGGCCGGCCGGGUGCAAGGGGGAUCACCCCACCAAACUUGCACACCAGCAAGCAAAAAUGCUACAGAUUUGUAAGCCAAGUCCAUACAUACUCAGCAGAAUUCUUGGAACCCAUCUACAUAUUCAUUAUCCUUCCAGAAAUUCAUUUACAUACUGCCCCUCCCCUGGUGCAUGCAUUGUCCAUAGUAAGGGUCUCCCUUUGGUGGUCGUGGGGAUGAAGUCAGAAGUCUUCCUCGUGAAGGCCCGAUGUCUUCCUCGGUCUGACCUUCUUACGGUGCAUUCAAACCAGUCAAAGCCAUUCGCUUUGUAUCGUUCCUUUGUGUUUGCACAGCUGACCAUGAAAUGUUGAGAUGUCAUUCUCCUUCCCUAGUUUCUAAAGCUAGCUUAUUUAACCCCUAUAUGUUCAAACCCUAGACCCACCUGAGCUACUGAUCUCAAACCCCCCUUUUCUUAAGUCUAGCAAAACCUUUUGCUAGAUGAUCCCAUUUUGAGAAAGAAAAUUCCUAAAAUAACUCCCAUUUUCCAUCUUCUGUCUCAGCCUGUGUUUCUUCCUCAUAGCUAUUUCUCAUAGCUAUUCUCUAUUCAGUCCUCAUAGCUAUUCUCUGAACGCUUACACAGCCAUAACAUGCAUCGCAGAGAAAUACAUACGAAGAUAAGCAAAGCAAUUAGUAUAAUGCAAGCCAUAAAGCUGGCUUCCUCAGACAUGGAAAAAGCUGAGGUACUCACUGAGUGCUUUGCC